CUGCUGCCUCCCGUAGGAGUUUGGACCGUGUCUCAGUUCCAAUGUGGGGGACCUUCCUCUCAGAACCCCUACGCAUCGUCGCCUCGGUGGGCCGUUACCCCGCCGACUAGCUAAUGCGCCGCAUGCCCAUCCACCACCGGGAUCGCUCCCUUUGACCCCCCAGGGAUGUCCCUAAAGGGUGUCAUGGGGUAUUAGGCGGCAUUUCUACCGGUUAUCCCCCUGUGACGGCCAGGUUGCAUACGUGUUACUCACCCGUGCGCCGGUCGCCGG
rnacentral:rRNA from 1 species